UGUAUACUAAAGGAUACAGCCAGGAGGAU
rnacentral:piRNA from 1 species